UUUAAGGUGGUACCCAACACUUCCACUAAAAUUAAUUCGGCUCGUUUAAUUUUCAUAAAAUUUGGUCAAAGUAUUUAUUUUACUUUGACCCUUUAACAAAAAUAUAAAAAGUUCAAAAAUUUUGAACCAACCAUUUUGUCAGAAAAAUUAUACUGGUUAUAUUGCAGUUUGACAAACACCAAUUUUGAUCAUUGAGAAGCUUAAUAUUCCUUUUACAACACAAC
rnacentral:lncRNA from 1 species